GGGGCUGUAGCUCAGUGGUAGAGCGUCCGCUUUGCAUGCGGGAAGUCCGGGGUUCGAACCCCCGCAGCUCCA
rfam:Trichuris suis scaffold74.11, whole genome shotgun sequence.